AACACUGUUAACCUGCGGUACCUGCGGAAGGAUCAUCAUCGAACUCAUAUCCUUCUCCGACCGGAGGAGGACCUAUGAUAAACCCUUAUGUGCACCGUAAACCGUUCACUUUGGCAGGCUUUGGUGAGCGUGAGCUCGUCAACCUCGCGUUCCCUCCCUAGGGGGUUGCGCGUGGCGGCCUGCCGGAGUCCUCCAAUGAAAAAUACGUUUUCGAACACGACUGAAAUUUCCUUUGAGAAA
rnacentral:misc_RNA from 1 species